UGGUUUUAUUAUAAUUCAGGUAAGAAUUUGAUCUUUAAUCAUAUAAAAGAAUAAAAAAAUUUUCAGAUGCAACCUGAGCUUUCAGAGGAAAAAUUGUUUCCCUUCCCUUCAAUUGAUAUCAGAGCAAGCCUGAAAUAUAUGCAUGUAUGAUAGAAUUUUUUGAGAUUAAUUAUAUAAGAUAUAAUUAUGAUUUUUUGUAAAACAUUAAAUCUAAUUUGACUCUAUUUAUAUAAAAUUUUUGAUCUAAUUUUGAUUGGACUAGAGGUGC
rnacentral:lncRNA from 1 species